GGAUGUAUUCCCUUGAUAACUUGCUAUUAGACAUAGUAUUGCCUUGGGAGGAUUGGAAAAAAUAUGUGUGAACAAAUUGAUUGUCCUAAUACCAAGUAAUUGCUUUCAUACCAAAUCCUCUACAGGUCUCUAGAAUUACAGUGUAAAGUUAGUUAUAAUUUAAGAACAAAAACAAAGAAAAGAAAAAAAAGAGUUAUUGUUGUGAUAAUGCUCAUAACCUGAACAAAACAACAACUAUAUAUAGCUACUACAUGUACAAAACAACAGGGCACAGUACGUUUGCGCUUUUUUACCUGUAAAACGAUAG
rnacentral:lncRNA from 1 species